GGUUAAGCGACUAAGCGUACACGGUGGAUGCCCUGGCAGUCAGAGGCGAUGAAGGACGUGCUAAUCUGCGAUAAGCGUCGGUAAGGUGAUAUGAACCGUUAUAACCGGCGAUUUCCGAAUGGGGAAACCCAGUGUGUUUCGACACACUAUCAUUAACUGAAUCCAUAGGUUAAUGAGGCGAACCGGGGGAACUGAAACAUCUAAGUACCCCGAGGAAAAGAAAUCAACCGAGAUUCCCCCAGUAGCGGCGAGCGAACGGGGAGCAGCCCAGAGCCUGAAUCAGUGUGUGUGUUAGUGGAAGCGUCUGGAAAGGCGCGCGAUACAGGGUGACAGCCCCGUACACAAAAAUGCACAUGCUGUGAGCUCGAUGAGUAGGGCGGGACACGUGGUAUCCUGUCUGAAUAUGGGGGGACCAUCCUCCAAGGCUAAAUACUCCUGACUGACCGAUAGUGAACCAGUACCGUGAGGGAAAGGCGAAAAGAACCCCGGCGAGGGGAGUGAAAAAGAACCUGAAACCGUGUACGUACAAGCAGUGGGAGCACGCUUAGGCGUGUGACUGCGUACCUUUUGUAUAAUGGGUCAGCGACUUAUAUUCUGUAGCAAGGUUAACCGAAUAGGGGAGCCGAAGGGAAACCGAGUCUUAACUGGGCGUUAAGUUGCAGGGUAUAGACCCGAAACCCGGUGAUCUAGCCAUGGGCAGGUUGAAGGUUGGGUAACACUAACUGGAGGACCGAACCGACUAAUGUUGAAAAAUUAGCGGAUGACUUGUGGCUGGGGGUGAAAGGCCAAUCAAACCGGGAGAUAGCUGGUUCUCCCCGAAAGCUAUUUAGGUAGCGCCUCGUGAAUUCAUCUCCGGGGGUAGAGCACUGUUUCGGCAAGGGGGUCAUCCCGACUUACCAACCCGAUGCAAACUGCGAAUACCGGAGAAUGUUAUCACGGGAGACACACGGCGGGUGCUAACGUCCGUCGUGAAGAGGGAAACAACCCAGACCGCCAGCUAAGGUCCCAAAGUCAUGGUUAAGUGGGAAACGAUGUGGGAAGGCCCAGACAGCCAGGAUGUUGGCUUAGAAGCAGCCAUCAUUUAAAGAAAGCGUAAUAGCUCACUGGUCGAGUCGGCCUGCGCGGAAGAUGUAACGGGGCUAAACCAUGCACCGAAGCUGCGGCAGCGACACUAUGUGUUGUUGGGUAGGGGAGCGUUCUGUAAGCCUGUGAAGGUGUGCUGUGAGGCAUGCUGGAGGUAUCAGAAGUGCGAAUGCUGACAUAAGUAACGAUAAAGCGGGUGAAAAGCCCGCUCGCCGGAAGACCAAGGGUUCCUGUCCAACGUUAAUCGGGGCAGGGUGAGUCGACCCCUAAGGCGAGGCCGAAAGGCGUAGUCGAUGGGAAACAGGUUAAUAUUCCUGUACUUGGUGUUACUGCGAAGGGGGGACGGAGAAGGCUAUGUUGGCCGGGCGACGGUUGUCCCGGUUUAAGCGUGUAGGCUGGUUUUCCAGGCAAAUCCGGAAAAUCAAGGCUGAGGCGUGAUGACGAGGCACUACGGUGCUGAAGCAACAAAUGCCCUGCUUCCAGGAAAAGCCUCUAAGCAUCAGGUAACAUCAAAUCGUACCCCAAACCGACACAGGUGGUCAGGUAGAGAAUACCAAGGCGCUUGAGAGAACUCGGGUGAAGGAACUAGGCAAAAUGGUGCCGUAACUUCGGGAGAAGGCACGCUGAUAUGUAGGUGANNNNNNNNNNNNNNNNNNNNNNNNNNNNNNNNNNNNNNNNNNNNNNNNNNNNNNNNNNNNNNNNNNNNNNNNNNNNNNNNNNNNNNNNNNNNNNNNNNNNNNNNNNNNNGCGAAGCUCUUGAUCGAAGCCCCGGUAAACGGCGGCCGUAACUAUAACGGUCCUAAGGUAGCGAAAUUCCUUGUCGGGUAAGUUCCGACCUGCACGAAUGGCGUAAUGAUGGCCAGGCUGUCUCCACCCGAGACUCAGUGAAAUUGAACUCGCUGUGAAGAUGCAGUGUACCCGCGGCAAGACGGAAAGACCCCGUGAACCUUUACUAUAGCUUGACACUGAACAUUGAGCCUUGAUGUGUAGGAUAGGUGGGAGGCUUAGAAGUGUGGACGCCAGUCUGCAUGGAGCCGACCUUGAAAUACCACCCUUUAAUGUUUGAUGUUCUAACGUUGACCCGUAAUCCGGGUUGCGGACAGUGUCUGGUGGGUAGUUUGACUGGGGCGGUCUCCUCCUAAAGAGUAACGGAGGAGCACGAAGGUUGGCUAAUCCUGGUCGGACAUCAGGAGGUUAGUGCAAUGGCAUAAGCCAGCUUGACUGCGAGCGUGACGGCGCGAGCAGGUGCGAAAGCAGGUCAUAGUGAUCCGGUGGUUCUGAAUGGAAGGGCCAUCGCUCAACGGAUAAAAGGUACUCCGGGGAUAACAGGCUGAUACCGCCCAAGAGUUCAUAUCGACGGCGGUGUUUGGCACCUCGAUGUCGGCUCAUCACAUCCUGGGGCUGAAGUAGGUCCCAAGGGUAUGGCUGUUCGCCAUUUAAAGUGGUACGCGAGCUGGGUUUAGAACGUCGUGAGACAGUUCGGUCCCUAUCUGCCGUGGGCGCUGGAGAACUGAGGGGGGCUGCUCCUAGUACGAGAGGACCGGAGUGGACGCAUCACUGGUGUUCGGGUUGUCAUGCCAAUGGCACUGCCCGGUAGCUAAAUGCGGAAGAGAUAAGUGCUGAAAGCAUCUAAGCACGAAACUUGCCCCGAGAUGAGUUCUCCCUGACUCCUUGAGAGUCCUGAAGGAACGUUGAAGACGACGACGUUGAUAGGCCGGGUGUGUAAGCGCAGCGAUGCGUUGAGCUAACCGGUACUAAUGAACCGUGAGGCUUAACCUU
rnacentral:rRNA from 1 species